UCAAAUUUGUUUUUUUCCUCUCUCUCUCUUUCUCUCUCUCUCUCGAUAGUUUUGGAUUCUUUUUUUUCUUCUUCUUUUUUCUGCAGCAAAGGAGGGAUCGUGGAGAUUGCAUUUUUUUUGAGGAAGAGGAGUUGUAGUAUUAUUUUUAUUUGAUAUUCCACAGGAGAUGAAAAGAAAACAUCAAAAU
rnacentral:ribozyme from 1 species